UUGGAGGGCAAGUCUGGUGCCAGCAGCCGCGGUAAUUCCAGCUCCAAUAACGUAUAUUAAAGUUGCUGCAGCUAAAAAGCUCGUAGUUGAAUUUCGGGACCAUCAUGUUGGUCGUGCCUCGGUACGUACUGGCAUUGUUGGCUUCUCCCUUCUGACGAACCAUGAUGUCAUUUAUUUGGUGUUGUGGGAAAUCAGGACUGUUACUUUGAAAAAAUUAGAGUGUUUAAAGCAGGCUCACGCUUGAAUACAUUAGCAUGGAAUAAUGAAAUAGGACGUUUGAUUCUAUUUUGUUGGUUUCUAGGAUCGACGUAAUGAUUAAUAGGGAUAGUUGGGGGCAUUAGUAUUCAAUUGUCAGAGGUGAAAUUCUUGGAUUUAUUGAAGACUAACUACUGCGAAAGCAUUUGCCAAGGAUGUUUUCAUUAAUCAAGAACGAAAGUUAGGGGAUCGAAGACGAUCAGAUACCGUCGUAGUCUUAACCAUAAACUAUGCCGACUAGGGAUCGGAUGAUGUUAAUUUUUUAAUGACUCAUUCGGCGCCUUACGGGAAACCAAAGUGUUUGGGUUC
rnacentral:rRNA from 1 species